rnacentral:lncRNA from 1 species
UGGUGACACACAGAAAUCUAAGUGACUAAACCUGCAAAGGGAAAAAAAAAGGAGGAAAAGCAGCCCAGGAAAACGAGUUCAGCUAACAAGAUCAGACGAGGAACUUAAAUACAGUAGACAGGAAGCAGAGAGAAGAACAGGAAUGAGAGCUAAAGCUUGCUGGCUGAUUGGAUACUGAUCCUUCCAAAUCAACCAGCUUAGAGUUCAGUUGAGUUAUUGCCCAAGAGAGGGAUUUAUUUCCUGGCUUCACUCUGGCUUUGCAAAGUGAAUGGAUUCUUAACUUACCAAGAGAAAGAGGAGGGGAGGUGAAUCAUGUGGCUUAACAGAGAAGCCAGAAGAUACUAAAGAAAUAUAGAAGGACUUCAAAGUGUACAGAAGUGGAGAAAAGAAUCUGGAAUUGAACUAGAAAAAAAUAACAACAAAAUUCAUCUGGAACAGCAAAAAGUCAAGAAUAUCAAGUGAAUCAAUAGGAAAAGAUGUGGAAGAAGAUGGCAAAUGAAAAACAGAGCUCAAAUCAUAUUUCAAAGGUCAAGAAUCAUUCUUUAACAGAAUCAACUGAAAACAUGAAGUCAGCAAAGAUGAUGAAGGGGAUAUAAACUUCUAGAAAAGGCUACAAGGUCUUUCUGAGAAACUACAUAAUUGCUGCUUAGCUUCCAUUUCUUCAUCAAAAUUUCCUCUGGCUAAUUAGAAGCUUUGAUGACCCUGGAAUGUUACCUAAAGAGAGGCCUCUUUGCAUAAAAGUGUAAACUCUGGGCCUCAAAAUUAUUUAAAAGGUAAAAAAUUCUAAUUAUCUUCUUGGAAUGCUAGAAUUGUUGCUAUUUCCCAAUGGAAAAGUAGUUGAAAUUUUCAAUAGAAAAAACAAAAUCAAUUCAACCAAGUGACAAAUAAUAUUUUAAAAGAUAAAGGCUAAUAAAGCAUCAAAAUAUUUUAUAUAAAUUAAUGGU